AAAACGGUCCUGAACGCAAACGCAGUUUCCCUGUGCUCCUGGCGCGUCGUGACCUUAUUAGUUAAAUUACUGUUCCCGUAGCGGAUUCGACAUAUCUGACGUUCUAAGUCACAAAGUUGGCCAUUCCGACCAGAAACGAGUACGCAUUUGAAGAUGGUACACCAAGCGAUAGACGGACUAGAAGGGAGCAGUCACAUCGUGGAAGGUCGGACGGAAUACGGAGCUGUAAAUUAUGAUCCAGGGUAUGGAGGCGUGCACUUGUGAAGCCGGAUGAAUUCUGUUGGUCCAAUGGUGAUUGCUGAUAUGGUGUUUGGGGAGUACAUACAACUAUACAUGACGAGCUGUCGUGUAACAAGCCAUGAGCUUUGCCUUUUCUGGGUGCCUGUUUUGGAGAACGGUGGAAAUAGUAAUACCUACUAAAGCUUUUUAUACAAAAUGCACGCCUAACUUUUUUUUUACGCAGUAAUAAAGUGGCCAUAUUUG